UUCUUUUUCUCUCCUCUGUCGAACCACCACCAUCAACCACCACCGUUUACCACCACGACCACCUGCUUCCUCCAUCAUUCCCAGCCACCCGCACCCGCACCAAACCAAUCACCGCCUCACCCUCCUCCCAGAACCAACCGAGAAACACCACCCUUGCUCCUCCCCUGUUUCGCAACCCCCUUCCCCUGCCUCCCUCUUUUCGUUCCCCUGCUGCAGCCACCACAAUCACACCACCACCACCACCACCGUCUCUCCGGCGCUUCCCUGUUGCGCCGCCUCCCAGUCCGCCCAGAACCUCCGCCCAAACCUCCGGUCACCAUCACCCCUCUCCUCCCCUGAUUUCUCCCCUGUUCGCGCCCCUCUCCCCCUUCCCUCGCCUGUUUCUGCCGCCUCAAACCACCAUCACUGUCGCCUCUCGGCGCGGUUUCACCGCCCAGGCUGAGCCCCCAGCCUCCCUCCUCUCUUCCUCCUCCCCGUGUUCCUCCUGGUCGUGCCCUGCUUCGUUCGUGCCCUGCUCCCCUUGCUGCUCAAUUUCAGAAACUUUGUUUCUGAAAUUGAAACCUCUUUUACUCCUCCAUAUUUAAGUUGGGCCAAUCAAUUGGUCUUUGGAAAUUGGACUCGGAGUUCAGGAAGAACGAUCCAUCGAACAUGAAGUAUAAACUACGGUUGAGGUACGAAGAAGAUCAUGGGAUGCCUUAGAGUGAGGAUGCAACCAUCAAAUUCACGAUCGAUGUUUAGUAAAGAUAACUAUGUCAUUAGUAAUAAAGGGAUGUAUUAAUUAAACUCUAAGUUUGAUUUCACGAUUUGAGUUAGAUCUUCAAAUUAAUGUUUAAACGUGUUAGAAAUAUUUAUUAAGGUUACUUAGAUUUCAAUGUAAUUUUUAAAGGAUUAAUCGAA